UGAGGAAUAUUGGUCAAUGGGCGCAAGCCUGAACCAGCCAAGUAGCGUGCAGGAUGACGGCCCUAUGGGUUGUAAACUGCUUUUAUGCGUGGAUAAAGUGAGGGACGUGUCCCUCAUUGCAGGUACCGCAUGAAUAAGGACCGGCUAAUUCCGUG
rnacentral:rRNA from 1 species